rnacentral:tRNA from 1 species
GCUGGGGUCGCCUAGUGGCUAUGGCGACGGCCUGCUAAGCCGUUUCCCGAAAGGGUGCGUGGGUUCGAAUCCCACCCCCAGCG